GGCGUCAUAGCUCAGUUGGGAGAGCAGCAGACUGAAGUACACAUGGCAGGAUGGUCAAAAAGUCAUCUGAAGGUCCCGUGUUCAAGCCACGGUGAUGCCA